rnacentral:rRNA from 1 species
UACGUAGGGAGCAAGCGUUGUCCGGAAUUACUGGGCGUAAAGGGCGCGUAGGCGGAUAAUUAAGUCAGGUGUGAAAACUCUGGGCUCAACUUGGAGAUUGCACUUGAAACUGGUUAUCUUGAGGGCAGGAGAGGAAAGUGGAAUUCCUAGUGUAGCGGUGAAAUGCGUAGAUAUUAGGAGGAACACCAGUGGCGAAGGCGACUUUCUGGACUGUACCUGACGCUGAGGCGCGAAAGCGUGGGGAGCGAACGGGAUUAGAUACCCCGGUAGUCCACGCCGUAAACGAUGGAUACUAGGUGUAGGAGGUAUCGACCCCUUCUGUGCCGCCGUUAACACAAUAAGUAUCCCGCCUGGGGAGUACGGCCGCAAGGUUGAA